rnacentral:rRNA from 1 species
UACGGAGGGUGCAAGCGUUAAUCGGAAUUACUGGGCGUAAAGCGUGCGUAGGCGGUUCGUUAAGUCUGUUGUGAAAGCCCCGGGCUCAACCUGGGAAUGGCAAUGGAUACUGGCGAGCUAGAGUGUGUCAGAGGAUGGUGGAAUUCCCGGUGUAGCGGUGAAAUGCGUAGAGAUCGGGAGGAACAUCAGUGGCGAAGGCGGCCAUCUGGGGACAACACUGACGCUGAGGCACGAAAGCGUGGGGAGCAAACAGG